AGAGUUUGAUCCUGGCUCAGGACGAACGCUGGCGGCGCGCCUAACACAUGCAAGUCGAACGGAGUUAAGAGGAGCUUGCUUUUCUUAACUUAGUGGCGAACGGGUGAGUAACGCGUGAGUAACCUGCCCUGGAGUGGGGGACAACAGUUGGAAACGACUGCUAAUACCGCAUAAGCCCACGGAGCCGCAUGGCUUUGGGGGAAAAGGAUUUAUUCGCUUCAGGAUGGACUCGCGUCCAAUUAGCUAGUUGGUGAGGUAACGGCCCACCAAGGCGACGAUUGGUAGCCGGACUGAGAGGUUGAACGGCCACAUUGGGACUGAGACACGGCCCAGACUCCUACGGGAGGCAGCAGUGGGGAAUAUUGCACAAUGGGGGAAACCCUGAUGCAGCGACGCCGCGUGGAGGAAGAAGGUCUUCGGAUUGUAAACUCCUGUUGUUGAGGAAGAUAAUGACGGUACUCAACAAGGAAGUGACGGCUAACUACGUGCCAGCAGCCGCGGUAAAACGUAGGUCACAAGCGUUGUCCGGAAUUACUGGGUGUAAAGGGAGCGCAGGCGGGAAGACAAGUUGGAAGUGAAAUCUAUGGGCUCAACCCAUAAACUGCUUUCAAAACUGUUUUUCUUGAGUAGUGCAGAGGUAGGCGGAAUUCCCGGUGUAGCGGUGGAAUGCGUAGAUAUCGGGAGGAACACCAGUGGCGAAGGCGGCCUACUGGGCACCAACUGACGCUGAGGCUCGAAAGUGUGGGUAGCAAACAGGAUUAGAUACCCUGGUAGUCCACACCGUAAACGAUGAUUACUAGGUGUUGGAGGAUUGACCCCUUCAGUGCCGCAGUUAACACAAUAAGUAAUCCACCUGGGGAGUACGACCGCAAGGUUGAAACUCAAAGGAAUUGACGGGGGCCCG
rnacentral:rRNA from 1 species